rnacentral:rRNA from 1 species
GGGUCAGUAGGUUGGUCGUGCCACCGGUACGUACUGGUAUCAAUGAUUCCUCCUUCCUGAAGAACCGUAAUGCCAUUAAUUUGGUGUUGCGGGGAAACAGGACUGUUACUUUGAAAAAAUUAGAGUGUUUAAAGCAAGCUAACGCUUGAAUACAUUAGCAUGGAAUAAUGAAAUAGGACGAUCGAUCCUAUUUUGUUGGUUUCUAGGAUUGACGUA